UGGCUCAAUGGUAGAGCACUUGCCUUGCAUGCAUGAGGCUCUGGGUUCGAUUCCUCAG
rnacentral:tRNA from 1 species